rnacentral:rRNA from 1 species
CCUGAAUCAGUGUGUGUGUUAGUGGAAGCGUCUGGAAAGGCGCGCGAUACAGGGUGACAGCCCCGUACACAAAAAUGCACAUGCUGUGAGCUCGAUGAGUAGGGCGGGACACGUGGUAUCCUGUCUGAAUAUGGGGGGACCAUCCUCCAAGGCUAAAUACUCCUGACUGACCGAUAGUGAACCAGUACCGUGAGGGAAAGGCGAAAAGAACCCCGGCGAGGGGAGUGAAAAAGAACCUGAAACCGUGUACGUACAAGCAGUGGGAGCACGCUUAGGCGUGUGACUGCGUACCUUUUGUAUAAUGGGUCAGCGACUUAUAUUCUGUAGCAAGGUUAACCGAAUAGGGGAGCCGAAGGGAAACCGAGUCUUAACUGGGCGUUAAGUUGCAGGGUAUAGACCCGAAACCCGGUGAUCUAGCCAUGGGCAGGUUGAAGGUUGGGUAACACUAACUGGAGGACCGAACCGACUAAUGUUGAAAAAUUAGCGGAUGACUUGUGGCUGGGGGUGAAAGGCCAAUCAAACCGGGAGAUAGCUGGUUCUCCCCGAAAGCU